rnacentral:rRNA from 1 species
CGCGUAGGCUGUUGAGUAAGUCAAAUGUGAAAUCCCCGGGCUUAACCUGGGAACUGCAUUCGAUACUGCUUAACUAGAGUAUGGUAGAGGGAAGUGGAAUUCCGGGUGUGGCGGUGAAAUGCGUAGAUAUCCGGAGGAACACCAGUGGCGAAGGCGACUUCCUGGGCCAAUACUGACGCUGAGGUGCGAAAGCGUGGGGAGCAAACA